UAACGCAUUUGUGGAUAAUG
rnacentral:miRNA from 1 species